GGGUGGCGAGCGUUAUUCGGAUUAUUGGGCGUAAAGGUUCCGCCGGUGGCCGAUUAAGUUUGAUGUGAAAGCCUAUGGCUCAACCAUAGAAUUGCAUUGGAAACUGAACGGCUAGAGUAUUGGAGAGGUAAGCGGAAUUUCUGGUGUAGCGGUGGAAUGCGUAGAUAUCAGAAAGAACACCGAAAGCGAAGGCAGCUUACUGGACAAUAACUGACACUCAUGGACGAAAGCGUGGGGAGCAAACAGGAUUAGAUACCCUGGUAGUCCACGCCGUAAACGUUGUCAACUUGUUGUGGGGGGAAUUAGCCCCCUCCGUGACGCAGCUAACGCGUUAAGUUGACCGCCUGGGGACUACGGCCGCAAGGCUAAAACUCAAAGGAAUUGACGGGGACCCGCACAAGCGGUGGAGCAUGUGGCUUAAUUCGAGGCAACGCGAAGAACCUUACCUGGACUUGACAUAUAUUUGAUCGCCAUUGAAAGAUGGUUUUCCUUCGGGACAGAUAUACAGGUGCUGCAUGGCUGUCGUCAGCUCGUGCUGUGAAGUGUUCGGUUAAGUCCGGCAACGAGCGCAACCCACGUCGUUAGUUACCAUCAAGUAAUGUUGGGGACUCUAACGAGACUGCCUGUGUUAAGCAGGAGGAAGGCGUGGAUGACGUCAAGUCAGUAUGGCCCUUAUGUCCAGGGCUGCACACGUGCUACAAUGGCUACUACAGAGGGAAGCGAAGCCGCGAGGUAGAGCAAAUCCGUAAAAGUAGUCUAAGUUCGGAUUGGAGUCUGCAACUCGACUCCAUGAAGUCGGAAUCGCUAGUAAAGGCGUAUCAGCAUUGACGCCUUGAAUACGUUCCCGGGUCUUGUACACACCGCCCGUCACAUCAUGGAAGUUGAUUGCACCCGAAGUCGUUGACCCAACUCAAUUUGAGAGGGAGGCGCCUAAGGUGUGGUUAGUAACUGGGAUG
rnacentral:rRNA from 1 species